UUGGAGGCAGCAGUAAGGAAUAUUGCGCAAUGGGCGAAAGCCUGACGCAGCGACGCCGCGUGAGGGACGAAGGCCUUCGGGUUGUAAACCUCUUUCAGCAGGGACGAAGCGAAAGUGACGGUACCUGCAGAAGAAGCACCGGCCAACUACGUGCCAGCAGCCGCGGUAAUACGUAGGGUGCAAGCGUUGUCCGGAAUUAUUGGGCGUAAAGAGCUCGUAGGCGGUCUGUCGCGUCGGAUGUGAAAGCCCGGGGCUCAACCCCGGGUCUGCAUUCGAUACGGGCAGACUUGAGUCCGUCAGGGGAGACUGGAAUUCCUGGUGUAGCGGUGAAAUGCGCAGAUAUCAGGAGGAACACCGGUGGCGAAGGCGGGUCUCUGGGACGGUACUGACGCUGAGGAGCGAAAGCGUGGGGAGCAAACAGGAUUAGAUACCCCGGUAGUCCC
rnacentral:rRNA from 1 species